GGGGAUGUUUGGUUUCGACAGGGUCGUUUGUCAGGUACGUGCGUGUCGAGGCGCCCAUAGCCUCGUAAAAAUGGGCAACCAAGAGAUGCGAACGCUCCUCUUGCUUACGCUGCCUAAGUCACUGACCUCUAGGUAGCGCGUCUGACGGUCCUCCGCCUUCUGGGGCCGACAACAGGCGUCACCAAGGAAGGCUGCGGUGAAGAAGUUCGCCAGAGCGCAAUCACCAAAGACAGUCUGGCUCACUGCAGUGGAAUCCCGUCGGUAGGAGAUCACUGCAGCACAUAAUAUGCCGACUACACACGUAGUAACUUGCCGGCUGGCGGUUCUGGACGGGGGUUCGACUCCCCCCAUCUCCACCU
rnacentral:tmRNA from 1 species